AUUGAACGCUGGCGGCAGGCCUAACACAUGCAAGUCGAGCGAGCGGCGGACGGGUGAGUAAUGUAUGGGGACUGCCCGAUAGAGGGGGAUAACUACUGGAAACGGUAGCUAAUACCGCAUAAUAUCGGAUAACCCAGAUGGAAAUAGCUAGUAGGUGAGGUAAUGGCUCACCUAGGCGACGCGCCCUCGCUGGUCUGAGAGGAUGAUCAGCCACACUGGCACUGAGACACGGCCCAGACUCCUACGGAGCCAGCAGUGGGGAAUAUUGCACAAUGGGCGCAAUCCUGAUGCAGCCAUGCCGCGUGUAUGAAGAAGGCCCUAGGGUUGUAAAGUACUUUCAGUCGGGAGGCGUUACCGAAAGAAAAAGCACCGGCUAACUCCGUGCCAGCAGCCGCGGUAAUAC
rnacentral:rRNA from 1 species